rnacentral:rRNA from 1 species
CGGGUGAGUAAUGCCUAGGAAUCUGCCUGGUAGUGGGGGACAACGUUUCGAAAGGAACGCUGAUACCGCAUACGUCCUACGGGAGAAAGCAGGGGACCUUCGGGCCUUGCGCUAUCAGAUGAGCCUAGGUCGGAUUAGCUAGUUGGUGAGGUAAUGGCUCACCAAGGCGACGAUCCGUAACUGGUCUGAGAGGAUGAUCAGUCACACUGGAACUGAGACACGGUCCAGCUCCUACGGGAGGCAGCAGGC